CAAACAAAAGAAAAGAGCAAAAACAAAAGCUUAGACCCAAGUAGAAUUCCCUCAAGCAAACCCCUAUUCCGAAGAAGCAAGAAAAUGAUAUAAACCGUAGUCGGUUCAUUUCAUUUCACGGCGAAACAGAUCGAGAAGAAUCACUGCGCGAUGGCAAGCAAACGGAAAGCCGACGCCGCUGCUUCACGCUUCCAACAACCAAAGCAACCAAAGCAGGGGGAGCCGGUAUGCUUUCUGUUUGGAUUCGAAUUUUGCUAUGAUUUUUGCGAUUUUAGGGCUAAAUUGCAUGCUUAUUUCGAUUGAUUGUGAAUGAGGAAUCGUUUAGCAACCAAUGCUGGGUAUGCUUCUGUUUGGAUUCGAAUUUUGCGAUGAUUUUCGGGAUAAAUUGCAUGCGUUUUUCGAUUGAUUGUGAAGGAGGAAUCCUUUAGCAAAGGGAAAAAACCAAUGCUGGGUUGAUGAAGAGUUGUUUAGCGUUGGAGAUCCUGUCGAGAUUAGAUUCGACGAACCCGAUUACGAGGGAGCUUGGUUUAGUGCCAGAAUUCUUGAGGCAAGAGGACAAGGUAAGUUUCUUGUUGAGUACGAGCACCUGCAUAUGGAUGAUGACGAGAAUCAGCCUCGUACAGAUGAGAUUGAUUCUCAAUACAUAAGGUACCCUCCGAAACGUGGUGUUCUUCCUGGCCAACUUGAGUUAACUGACACAGUCGAUGCUUUCCACAAUGAUGCCUGGUGGGUUGCUUCAGUUGUUCCUUCCAAUGCCAAGCCCAAGCCCAAGGCCAAGGCCAAAGCCAAGUCCAAGUCCAAGUCCGAGCCCAUGCCGGAGCCCAUGUAUACAGUUAACUUGUGGAGCACUCAUGAGGAAUUGGAGUUUAAAUGCUCCGAUUUGAGGGUGCAUCAAGACUAGAUUUAUAGGAAAUGAGUCAUAGCUUAGCUUUUAAGGUAUGGCUGCAUUAUUCAAGUAUGCACAUUGUUAAUACUAGUCUUGAUUCACAAUUUCACAUAGCAGUAUAUUUUCCUAUUCCGGAUUAGUUUUAUUCUGUUGGUACUCUUCUUGUCCAAUGUGGUAUGGUAACACUAUUAUAAGUGACUGGUUUGUAUGGCUGAACUUUGUUGAGUCUCUAACAUUUCAUUCUUAUCUAAUAUGGUAUAGUGACUUGACUAUAAGUGAGAUUGGAUGGUAUUUCUGUACUCUGUUGGGACUCUACUUCUCAUAGUAGAGUAAGGUUAUACCGUGUUUGGAUGUGG